rnacentral:lncRNA from 1 species
UUCGAUAUGGGAAUAAAGAGCCUUACCUGGAAUUGCUUUGAGAUCGUAAUCCAAAGACGGGGAGUCAAAGAUGGAAGGCUCCUGUUUUGGUUGGGUGCUGCAAUUGGUGUAAUCAAGAGGGGAGAUGGGAGGCAAGAAUGGGUUGUCAAGGGCGCAAUUGGGAGUGGGGUUGAACUCGGAGAGCAUGCUUCCAAGCCAGUUAGACAGAUCGGAGGGGUUGUAAUGAACAGUCUCGGAAGCGAGAUGAGAGAGGCCAUCCUCCUGAGCAUUAACAAUAACUUCCUCAAGCUGUUCAAGCUUCUGAGCGACCUCAGCCAUGUCGGAGGCCUUGACGUUGUAGCCCAAAA